AGUAAAGUGCCUGAAAAAGGUUAAUUUUGAUAGAAUUAGUCAUAUAGGUUAGUCCUAUCUUUACUU
rnacentral:tRNA from 1 species